UCGUGCCUUGUAGUGGGGUUUCGUGCAAGGAAAUUGUUUGCACUUUGCAGUGACCCCAGUGUUGCCUCGCCUUGUAAAUGCAAGUGUGGCAUCUUGUGCUCUAAGUUUUCUCAUAUCAAUUUUUGGGCUCCAAGUUUCUCUUUGCAAUUUCCACCGUUUUUCCCAUAACCUACACCACUGUGAAGUUUUCCUCUUGCGUUUUCCAUUUAUGCUGAAUAUCAUCCUCAACCCUCAUUUACUUCCCUACUCAUUGGAACACUAAAUUUGCUGCCAUCACUAAAGACCAAAGAUGACCAAACCCUAUUGGCUAUCGCGAAGACGUAAACCCCAAACAGUCUCUUUCCCUCAAACUCGCAGUGCAGAUAGCGGUUUGUAGACAGAAGUACCUCUAAUCCUCCCUUUGCAUUAAGCCAUUGACUUACUUCUUCCUUUAUUUGUCUUCAACUUCAAAACUCGACACGAAAGCACCUCCAUCGUUAGAGCCAGAAAGGAGAUGAUUCCUUUACAGUUACUUAUUUUGUGAACUUUUAGGGCUUGUCCAUCAAAGAUGCUACUAAGGUAUCAAAAAAGGUUAAAUUCAAUAAACCAUUGUGUGCAUUCUUUUUUGUCCGCACACGCUACAAGAUAAUGGCCAAUGAUCUUCAAAUCAAAGGAGAUCAAAGCAUUACCCCUGUUUAGAUGCUAGAGAUGGGAUGAUGAUGAUAGGGUAAAUGAUUUAAUUAUAAGCAGUUGAUUGUGUUCCGUUCAGCUGAAUAAAUUGGGCAAAACAUCAGCAGAUGUCACCUUACUUUUCACAUGGGUUGUAAGUGAUGUUUUUUGUUUGCUGUUAUGGUUAUUAGAAUUUUUGUUAAAGGUAAACCAUGUAAUGAUGAAAGAAAGUGAAGCAAGUAGAUAUUUUCAAUAGCUUAUAAAUGCUAUUAAUUAUUGCCACAGCAGGGAUGUCUACUAUCGAGACCUAAAGGUAAGACUUAUUCUCCUGUCUUAUCAGCAAAAUUUCACUUUGAUAUCAAAAGAAACAAACUCUUAUAUGGUUUUCAUUUUUUAUUUAAUAAAAAUUUUACAGCUAGAAAAGUUGCUAUUAGAUGCUUCUGAAAUUUCUAAAGUUUCUGAUUUUAGGUUAAGUGCUCUGUCCCAACAAGUCAAGGUAGUUGUGUUUCAUUGCCUUCUAAGAUUUACUUUUCUUUGUUAUUUAUCUUUAUUCAAUAUAUUGAUAAUCCUAUUGUCAAGUUUGCUGCUAAUCAUCCUUUGAGAAAAAGAAAAUGAAAGAAAGCAAAACAAUUGUUUUUUUAAUUUAUUUUAACAUAUCUGUAAAUUGGCUAAAUGCUUGCUUUUAACACACCUUACAUGUGCUUAUUUAUAUGCAUGAAUCUUGUAUUGGCUUUUCAGGAUGGGUAAUAUAGGAUUUGAAAAAAGAGAGGGGAUAUACUAGCUCGCAUCACAAGCCUUGUGAUUGUUAAACUAGCGCCUACAGUUGAGAAUAGAAUAAGUAAAUGGUGGUAUUAAAUUGAUUAAUAUUUUUAAUAGUAUACUUUUAAAGGUCCCAUUUUGUUGCUUUGUUCUUUGAUUUUUUUUUAAUUGAAAGGCAUUAACUAUCAAUGACUCCAUAUGAUGUUGCAAUUAGUAUUUUUGGAGAAGAUAGCAUAAUCUUUUAAACCAGAGUAUGACCUAUAUCCUUCCACUAAAAUGAGUUGGAAUGCUAGUAUGCCUAAUCUUUAAGCAAGAAAUUAUGGGUCUCUAGUUGUCAAUUAAGUGCAAAUGGUAGUACAAACUCAACUCACUUGGGAUUACCCACUUAAUUUAACGCAGCUGUUAUGUGCUCAUUAUUUUUAUAAUCUUUCAUGUUAGAAGUAUAAUUGCUUGAUAACAUUACAUUAUUGAGCUCUUCAUUUCAUGGCCUCAGUUAAUGACUAUGGAGUUAGAGACUCUAAUAUGGAAAGAUUUUAGCUUUCUAAGCACUUAUGCUUUUUGUGGCCUGCAGUUGAUUUAUUAUAAGUUAAUUAAAGCAAACGAAAUCAUUGCUUAAACUGGCCUCAAUUUCUAUCUUUCUAUCUAUGUAGAAUUGACUAAACUUUUGUAGUCUUUAUCCCUUUGUAUUCUACAACUUAUAUGAUAAAGAGAGGAUGAAAAGAGGCAUAAUAGUACCAUGAUGUUUUGUUGGAAGCAUUGCUUAACCAUGGAGAGAUAGCUUAUUUGAUUUUCACAAUGCUUUGGCUUUCUUCCUUUUUCUUUACGAUUUACUAAAAUUGCUGGUCUCACAUGUUAUAGUUAUCAUUGCAGACAGUGGUCUCUCUGGAGUUAACGAGCAAUUGAAAAGAUUUGGAAUCUCCUUAUUGUCAUUAGCAUGACAGAGGUGGUGUUUUUGGUUUUUGGUAGAAAUAGUGUGUCCUGAACUCUAAAGCACUGGAAAAAUAAAGUUACAAUGACUUGCCUCAUAAUUUGCAUUUGCACAGAAAAUUCCUCCGGUUUAAGAACAAAAUAGAAGGAAUAGGUUUUCACUUUUUA